GACGAACGCUGGCGGCGUGCUUAACACAUGCAAGUCGAACGGAAAGGCCCUGCUUUUGUGUGGUGCUCGAGUGGCGAACGGGUGAGUAACACGUGAGUAACCUGCCCGUGACUUUGGGAUAACUUCAGGAAACUGGGGCUAAUACCGGAUAGGAGCUCCUGCUGCAUGGUGUGGGUUGGAAAGUUUCGGCGGUUGGGGAUGGACUCGCGGCUUAUCAGCUUGUUGGUGGGGUAGUGGCUUACUAAGGCUUUGACGGGUAGCCGGCCUGAGAGGGUGACCGAGCAGAUUGGGACUGAGCUGAUGCCAAUACUCUAACGGUAGGCAGUAGUGGGAAUAAAUCUACCAUGGGAGGAAGUCUGAUGCAGCACCGUGGCGUGCGCGAUGAUGGUUUUGGGGUUGUAAACAGCUUUAGACUGGGAAGAAGAGUUCUUGAAGGUAAGUGGCAAAGAAGCACCUGCUAACUACGUG
rnacentral:rRNA from 1 species